GAUCUUUGACAUUCUUGAUACAAACAAUGGCGAAUACAGAUAAUCUGCAGGUGAAAGGCCUGCACGGGAUUAACCCAUUGUCGUUAGCCUGCGACCUAAUGUGCGCAGGGCGAAGCCGUGGAAGGCACGGAAUACCCGAGGCUCGGAAGCCUCCUGACGACAC
ncrna:unclassified sequences DTF2693 RNA